GAGAGAGAGAGAGGGACUUUCCGAUGCAUAAGCAGCUCUCAUACUGAGCUGCGCAAACAGAACACACUGGGAGACAGAACAGAUCUGUUCUGACAAAGAAGCAUCUGACUUGUUCUUGGAGAUAAUCUUGACAAGGAAAGGGAUGGUUCGAUUCUCUCUUCAUAUGCAAACUGCUUCAUAGAAACAAAUUUUUUAUUACCUGAAUUGGCAUUUUAAACCUGGCAGUAUUGCAAACGAAGAUCUCCAUCAUGUUCCUUCUAGUUGCUUAUCUUGCAAUCCACUUUGCAUUAUCAAUUGCAUUAAGUAAUAAAAGCCUAGACCUCCUAGAAAAUCUGACUUAUCUAAAUCCACCGACGGACUUUAAGAUUGUAGAUGAACAGCUUGGAGAACUGACAUUCUCUUGGAGUAGCAACCUCAGUGAAGAAAUACAGAGUCGAUUUCAAGUUAAAUAUGAGUUUGAAUAUAAAUACUUUGAUACGGACCUUUGGGAAAGUGGGGGCAGAGAAUUAGUACCGGAACAUGAAAACACAUUUGAAUUACACAGGGGUGUUUACUUACGAAUUAAAAAUGUGCUCCAAAUAAAUGAAAAUGAGUUCAGAGAAAGCAAAUGGACUACAAAGAAGAUACAAUUACCAGGUGAUCCAGAAACAUUAGCUUACAACUUUUCAUGUGUUUUGUAUGAUCACUCGAACAUGACUUGUAGAUGGUAUCCUGGCAACAACGUUCCGAAUGGCACACAAUAUAAAAUGUAUUACAGACAGUAUGGCACCACCAGGGAAUGUGCUCACUACUUUACAGACUUGCAAGGGAGACAAAGUUGCCAUACUGGUAAAGAUAUGGUUGAUCCUGAGGAGGAUAUCCUAAUAUGUGUCAAUGGAUCAAAUAAUUCUUCAUCAAUUAUGCCAUAUUACACAAAGUUUGAUCCACAGCAGUUUGAGAAGUACAAUCCACCACGCAAUGUUGAAAUCUUUCCAAAUCUGACUGUAAAAUGGAAAAGUCUCCAGGCAACUCUGUUCGUAAAAGUAGUUGCUUUGAAUAUCAAUUGCAACUCAUGGAAUUGACCGAGAAUAACAUUAAGUUGUUCCAUGUGAAAGCUGACACCAAAUUUAUUCUGAUGAAUAUUAACUUAUCUAAACGUUACUCAGUGAAAGUGCGAACAAAGCUAAAGUAUUGCAAGGAAACCAGAUACUGGAGUGACUGGAGCAAUGAAGCAUUUAUUGAACCCAAGGGGAUGCUUAAAGUACGGGUAAUGGUAUUUAUAUUUCUUCUGAUCGUUGUCGGGGCAGGGCUGCUUCUCAGAAUAAUUUUCAGAAGGUACAAAAUCAUUACAUUCAGACCAGUCCCUGAUCCCCAGAAGAAGUUCAAAGAAUUGUUUGAGGAAUACAAUGGUGAUUUUCAGAAAUGGCUUGGCUAUCAGAUACCAAUCUCUAAAUAUGAAGAGUGUUACACAGUUGUCAUUGAAGAAAGCAUCAGACCUGAAGCACCAGUUAAGAAAUGUACUUCUUCCAUCGCCACAGACCUUCGCGCACCUCAAGAGUAUCAUGUGAUCCAUAACAAGGGUAUCAUGUGAUCAAAACAAAUCAACCAGAAUUUUUAAUUACCUUCUUUGCCUUACCUUUUAUAACCCUGAGGCACGGUUUCAACCAGAAACAUCGACAAUUCCUUUUCCCCCCACAAUCUGCUACUCAACCCGCUGAUUUCCUCCAGCAGAUUGUUUGAUGUUUAAUAUAAACAAUUGUCAUUGUCAAUCAAGAUUCCUCGUGAACACUCCUGUUGAAAGCUCACUGACCCGAAACAUUAACUCAUUUUUUUCUCUGAAGUGUCACCUGGAUUGUUGAGUAACUUCAGCAUUGCAAAUGAUUCUAUUUAAGUUUCAACUCUGCCAACCAUAAAAUGAAUAGAGAAGACAUUUCAAGUACAUCACCUACAUUUGUUGAAACUGAGCCUCAUUCCUUCAGAUAAGACUUUUAUACUUGCUCACUUUGUGUGGUCCCUGAUAUAUCAUACCCACCAGUAGAUAAUGAAUAAAUAACAGUGCGGAUUAAUAAGUUAUUUUGCAUUAUGUCAGUUUGAAAUACAGGGCACGCAUUGCUAAAGAAUUGUUAAAAUAGGUAAGGAAAUAAUGAAACAGAGCAAAUAAUGUGAAUAUAAUUCUAACUAUUCUUAUUUUUUUUACUACAGUGUUGUGUAUAUUUUUAGGUUUAUAUUGUAUGAAAUGUGAGACUGUUGUUCAAGAAAAGUGAACUAGUUAGCCUAACAUCUUGUGCAGAGAAACUACUGGGGUAUAUAACUAGGGAUAUGCAUACUGUAAGAUUUCAACUGCUCAGGGAGAGUCAGCGUGGAUUUCUGAGGAGAAGGUCACACCGAUGAACGCAAUUGGAUUGUUGGAAAUGGUAGUGAUGGUGGUGGACAUGGGAUUCUGUGGAUAUUAUAUAGACUUCUUCAAGUCCCUCAUAAGAGAUCGUUAAAGUCAUGAAAUUAAAGGCAAAUCAUUUGCCUGAUUAGGAGAUUAGCCCAACAGCAGAAUAGAGGGAGCAGGAAAAAUGAAUAGGUGCUUUAAUUAAGCUCCAAAUCUGCAGGUUGUGACCAGUCACGAUCCACAUUGAUCUGUGCAGGGACCUCAACUAAUCAUGGUAUUUAUUAUUGGCUUAGACAACAGGCUAGAGAGAGAUAUAUAUCCAAGGCUGCUAUAACAUGAAGAAAGGUGAUAGUAUAAAGGUAAGCAUUAAAUUACAAAGAAAUAUUCUUCUUCUUAGCUACUGCCUCAGAGUCAAGGGUAACCUGUUUCCAGUCCAGUUGCAUUGGUUCUGAAGUGAUUGAAGAGUCCUAUGCAGAAUUCACAGACUUUACCAUAGAUGGGGUAGGUGGUGCUUGACAGGGUGCGUGACGAUGUUGUGCACUCCUUCUAUUGUUUCUACAUGGCCUCCCCGUGCUCUUGUCAUUGAAACUCAACAACCUCCGUGCCUUCGGUAUUGAAUCUCUGGAAUUCUCUGCCCCUGAGGGUGGUGGAGGAGGCCAGAUCAUUAGAUGUAUUUGAGGUGGAGAUAGAUAAAUAUUUGAAAGAUCAAGGGAUUGAGAGUUAUGGUGAACUGGUACAGAAGAGGAGUUGAGGCCAGCAUAUAUCAGUCAUGAUCAUAUUGAACGGCAGGACAGGUUUAAGGGGCCUAGUGACCUCGUCCUGCUCCUAUUUUCUUGUGUUUUUGUGUGGCCCUGCUCUAUUUUGAACAGAAAUAGGCCAAUGCUUUCCAAGAGUUGGUGAGGGUGUCCUAUCUUUGUUUCAUGGAGAUCUAAGAACAUCCUUAAAGCAUUUACUCUGUCCUCCUGGUAAUUUCUGACUGUGACAGGGUUCAGAGUAGGGUCCUUAUUUUGGGAGUCCAGUAUCACCAUUGCAGACAAUGUGGCUCAUCCACUGGACGUGAUUAAGCACAAUAAGAGACAAAUGCAGGGCAUGUUGGCCUGGGAGGGAACAAUGGCUUUGGUUUACCUAUCCUUCGAAUGGAUUUGGAAAAUGUUGUGCAGACACCAUUGGUUGCAUUUCUCCAGGUGCUGGCUAAGGAUUAUCCAUGGAGUUCAGGAGGUCAGAGAUUGCUACAGAUCCGUACAAUUUGAUGUUACUGCAGGACUUGUGGUCUUUGACUUUGGAACCCCUUUCUCCUCAGUUGGCUGAAGGGUAAGCUGCUCUGAUGGAAGCAGUGGCAGCUAGAAGGUGACCCAUGUUUUUUCAGGGUUGUACAGUGUGUUUUGAUUGUCAAGAGUUAGUAAUCUAAGUGAGGACAGGUUGCUUUCCUGGAGGUUUUGUGUUAGGUCCAUCUCUUCGUAUACUCAGUAAUGAAAUCAACAAUGAUUUGGAGCUUAAUUUAGGAAAUGUACAAUAUGCAACAAUAAUUUAAUGACUGAGGUUGGGAUGAUCUGAGUUUUAGGGUUGAGCCAAUGAUGGUUUUCUACUUGUUCUGUAGACUGAGUCCAUUCCAGCUGCAAGCUUGUUGAAAACAAAAUGUCUCAUCGUAGAGAAGAAGAGUGAGAAAAGGAUUGGAGAAAUGGCACAGUUAUUCUUGACUUUAGUUUGUAUUGGGACUGGGUCUGUGGUGGACAGGUUGGUUAGAAUCAUGGCUUGCCUGUCAUUGUGUAGGAUGGUGAUCAGUUUGUGAGGACAGCCCAGUUUGAGUUGAAUUCUCCAUAACCCCUCUCUAUCGGCAGAAUCAAGGGCAUUCAUGAGGUUGGAAAAAGCAAUGUACAGUGGUUGGUGCUGUUCUCUCUCUUGUUGCUUGGUUUGAUGUGCAGUGAAGGUUAUGCCCAUUGUCUCCAUUGAUGCACAGAAUCCCAAAUAGAUCAGUGAAUGAUCACAAUAAUGGCAAAUGAAUUUCAAGUAAUCAUGUGUGACAUCUACUUCAAGCCAAGGAGGACAGUUCGAGAUUACUUUCCAAAUUCUGAGCAGCUGGAAACAAUGGAGAUCUGAAAGAGACUUGGGGGUAGGAAUAAAGUGAUUAUAUUCAGAUAGAUAGAUCAUCAACAAUCAUCGCCAGGUACAUAAAUUAAUCAACGACACUAAUGGAAACCUAAUCAUUAUGCCUCAAAGAAUGGUUUUCUGUUUGUUAGUAGUCAUCCAAAGCAGUGGGGUACUUAAUUCCAAACACUACCUCUAAAGAAGGAUAUUCAGCCUUGGAAAGAUGUGAAGCACAGAUAUGUCCAAAUUGUAUCUGUAUUCUAAGAGUUAAGUGAGAGGAGGGUAUGACAGACAAGGAUAUAUUGUUUUGGUAAUCAGAUCAUUAAGGGGCAAUUUGAUUGAAGUUUUCAAGUUGGUAAACAGAGAGAGAAAAUAUUUCCAGUGGUUGGGGAAUGUCGUGAAUGGGUCGUCGUUUAAAAAAAGAGCCAGAGCUUUCAGUAGCGAAGAUUGGAAGCAGUUGUACACAGAGGGAGGGAGGAAGCUUGGAAUUCUCUUCCACAAAUAGCUUGAUUGUUAAUUUUAAAUCCAAGAUUUGUUGACCAGAAGUAUUAAGUACUCUGGAGUAGGGUCAUUGAUCAGCCUGCAUCUCUUGAUUGGCAGAACAGGUUCACAGAUCUAAAAUGUCUCCUCCUGUCCCCAGUAUAUGUGACUGGAAUUAAUGUUCAGUCACUUGUUGGUCACCAAUCAUAGAAUUGUAGCACUGAAUCAACCAAUGGGCGAAUCACAUCUGGGUCAGGUAUUCUUUAAAAAUCACAAACAGAAACUGAAUAGUACAGUGAGUUAUCAAGCCAUCUGGACGUCACUGGUAUAAACCAGGAUUACUGGAUAAAACAUCCUCCUGUUACUUCCAUUUCUGAAGAUCAUGAGCACAUGAUUUCGAAGAUGUGGAGACACCCUUCUCUUUGUAUUUCUGCGCAUGACAUCAUUUGAUAAUAUUGCACUCUGACCCUACCACAAAGAAGCUCUAUAUUCAUUUGUGAUCUUGAGUUUAUUAUUAACUAGCUUUUCAUUACAGAAAGAGUGUUUACUUAUUAAAAAUGACAAUGUACAUUUAUUCUCUGUAAUUUUCUAAUGGUUAUUUUUGAUAUAGCGUGGACUGUUUAAACACAUUUAUCUUCUCUUUAGGUGAAAGUGUUGAUUUAAUUAUCAGUGCAUUUACUAGAUAAGAGGAGAUAUUUUUAAAGUGUUUUUCUACUAAUAUUGCAAUCAUUUUUAUUUUAUUUAGAAGAUCCUACUGUGGCAGCUUUCUUAGAUUUUGUACUUGAAUAUUUUUGUGGCGGCAUAUUUGUUAAGAUAUUAAACCUUUGAUCUGGAAAAAUGAGCUCAAAUCCCAUCAAGACAGCUGGGAAAUUUAAGUUCAAUUAAUUAAAUAAAUCUGGAAUGAAAGGCUAGUGUCAGUAGGACUAGAAAGUCACUGAUGUUCUUCACAGAAGGAAACCUGCCACCUUUACCUAGUGUGGUCAAUAUGAGACUCCAGAUCUAUCAGGUGUGUGAUUACUUUUAAAUGCUGGUUAAAUUAAGAGGCAAUUAGAAUUGAAUUAUAAAGCAGGCUUUGUAAAUGAAUGAAAACAAAUAAGUAAAAAUUCGUUAGUGAUUGCCAUUCAUCUGGUCACCAGUAAAAGUUUGCAGGCAGGCAAUGGAAUGAUUUCGACCGCAUUAAACAGUACCACAUUAAAAACUCAUUGUCACUUUUAUUUUUUUUAAAUGGCCUUUUGAACCUGCAAGUGAAGAAGUAUGAGAAGAAUGCAGAGUUUAUGCAUGAUUUGAAAUGUAGAAAUUCGCAGUCAUUUGUGAAAAUGUCAUAGUGCAUUAAAGAAGUGUUUUAUCAA